rnacentral:lncRNA from 1 species
UAUAAUACAAGACAAUAAAGGGUACAUAAAAACUUCUGACACUUGAACAUAUGAUGAAGUCUUCCACAUGUCAAAUAUUUCGACAUCAUAACCUGAAAUAAUAAAAUAAGAUGGAUAUCAACAUUAUUUAUGAUAGGACAUAGUAUUACUACUGCUUUAUAACAUUUGACUACUAACAAUCAGACUCUGCACUUUGUCUAUGCACUUAUUUGUAACAAUAGUCCUAUUUGCAAGAAAUUAAAUUGUACAAUUUCGAGCUGGAGAAUAAAAGUAUAGAUCCCAAAAUAUAUGUGCUUCAAAACUUAGAUAUGCAUAAGAAUAAUUUAAAGAUAUUCAACUUAAAGUAAUUGGUUUGAAUCUAAGCUUUCAUGAGGUGCAAGCNNNNNNNNNNNNNNNNNNNNNNNNNNNNNNNNNNNNNNNNNNNNNNNNNNNNNNNNNNNNNNNNNNNNNNNNNNNNNNNNNNNUUAUACAUCUUUUACUUUUAUUUGUUUUGUUUUUGGUUAAGCCCGCUAAAUGAAUAAGAGAAAUUACAUGAAGUUCCUCAAAUAAAAAAUGCAUAGAGGAGUACAAAAUCUAUUUUAAAUUAAGACUACAUAUUAAAAGUUUACUUGGAGAAAGAAUCAACAUUUAUAAACUAAAAUCCUCGCUAGCUAAGUUACAAAUUAAGAAGCUUCAAAGAGAGCAUACUAAUAAGUAGAGUAAUGGCACUGAAUGUUGUAACCAUGACCUAUUAUUUCUUAUGCAGUACAAAAUAAACAUUUACAGUGAAGAGUGCAGAAACGGGAAUGGGCUUUUUGAGUGUUUGUACAUACUUGUUAGAUUUGCCAGAGAAGAUUUCAGGGAUUGAGAAUUCGAUUUGUUGUUCCUAUUGUAUAACAUUUUGCUUAGUAAAGUAAGGUGGUAGAGUUUUCUACCGCAUACAACAAAAGAAAGUUGUAAAUGACCAAACUCGUAUAUUAACAUUCCAUGGAGUACGCAAACAAUCAGAAUGCAAAUAUCGAUGAAAUGAAAGACAAAAACUCAUGUCGAACCUGGCUUGUUGGGUGUUUCUUGUUUUGCUUUCUUUGCCAGAGCCAGGAGCUACUUAGGAGAUGGAGCUGGUCUCUUUUUCUUUUCAACCUUCAUCAUAAAACAUCAAUCACAUAAAAGACGAUGCUAAUUAAGAUAAAUGUAGGCUCACGAGAAAAAAAUGAACAAACAUAAAGAUAAAAAAUUUAGUACUACCUCUUUUUGAUGUAUCUUCUUCUAAAUCUUCAUCUCCAUCCAAAUCAUCAAAAAAAUCCAUUACUUAAGGACCAUAAAAAUCCUAGUAAUCCAAAAUUUAAAAAAAUUAUGUACACCCAGAAAAAAUAUAAGAUAAAGCAUUUCUCCCUGUAUUAAAAGGUAAAAUCUACAUAAUAAGCAUCACAAAAAACUUUAUGAAUGGCACCAUGGCUACAGGCACAUCACUGGAGACAUCAUCACUACCAUCUUCAAAAUCAUCAUCAUCUUUGUUAGAUGUCGGUUCUUUUUUUGGUUCUGCCACCUUCGCAUUUUUCUCAAUAAAUGCAACCUUAGUAAGUGCAGACUUUUUUGAAUCAUGCUUUAUAUCCUUCACAUUAUCCUCAAGUUUUCCAUUUAUGCAUCUAAAACAUUCUCUUCAUGUAAAAAAAUAUCACCUCUAGAAUCAAUUUCAUCAACGCUCAGAUCAUCAAUUGUGCAUACAAUUAAAUACACACUCCCAUUUGUUUUAGUCAUGACUCAUGUAAAAUUUUAAACUCCUUUUCAAGGACCAAGUCAAACAUCAACUAAGGUCUAUCCUCUGCCGGUAGAGUUCCAAUGAUGUAAUUAUUUUCUCCAACAGUUAGGCGUAGAGGAACAUGUUUUACUUCUUUGGCAUACUUCACUUCAUCUAUUGCAGCCUACAAAAUAAAGAUCCCUAAUAGCCAUUUAAGAGUAAAGCCACAUUAUGCUAGCUUGAGAAAGAACACAAAUAUAAUUUAUUUAUUUUUAAAAAAAGAAAGCUAACCUUGUAAAUAUGAAUGAGCUUAUAAAGUUCAGGCUUGAUUUAGAAAUCGUCUUACUUUCACUUCAACACCUAUACAUAGCUCAUGUGAAAGAUAUGUCACACUUUAAUAAAUUAUGUUCAUAUGGUGUAAUUUCUGCAUCAUGAAAAUAAUUGACCAAAACCAUGUUAAGGUAUAGAUUAAAAAAAUAAGCACAUGUAUCAGUGGUUCAAUUUAUGUAUACAUAUACAAACCGAUCUAUACCUUUUUCUAGUUAUUUGGUUUUGAUUCUAGUAUGCAAUUUUAACUCCUAUUUUCUCUGCAUCUAGUUGCUAGAAACAUAAAAAAAUUCCUUUAAAUGAUACAAACAUCUGUAGCAGAAAAAUCAUGACGUCUUAAGCCUUCAAGAUUCAAUCCAUGAAGCUUAACUUUUUUUCUCAGAUACAAUAAUAUACUUUGGAACAUCGUUAGAAACCUGGAGAACAAAAUAACUAAGAUCCUAAAAAGAAACAUAUGUGAUCUUAAAUAUAGUUAGUGUGUUGUAGUCGUAUAAUAUAUGUGCUUUCAAUGUGAGAAAUGUAGAAGAACUAAUUUUAAUAUAUUCAACUUAAAGUAAGUGGUUCGAAACUAAACUUUAAUGAGGUGCAUCUCACAAACAAACUUAAAAGUAUAGCAAUUACAGAUGUAUUGCUAUCUUGAAUUAUGUUUGCAUUUAGGAAAACAACCAAAAUAUGAAACUAUUGAUAUCUUAAUUUAUCAUACGAGGAGUAUUGAGUCUUUCAAAGAAUUAAAAGACAUCAAAAAUUAAGAAAGAAUCUUACCACUGAACCACCACCAAGGAAUGAAAAAGAACCAAUACGGUAAAUUAAUGAACAACAAUAGCUCCUGUAGUGUGGCCGUAGUCCUGUAUGUGAAGAAUUUAAAUUAUCAUCUAUCAGUUAUACUAAAUUUCCAGAAUAGGUCAUGCUUCAUGAAAAUGACUAAAACGAAAUAGUCAACCACAACAUGACCUGCAAGAAGUGUGGUGUUUUUCACUAGAAAGCAAUACAUAUUUUUUCAAUACGUUAAAACUAAAGUGUAUCUAUUUGAAGAUACAAAGAUUUAGUUGGUUGUGUAUAUACAAGGACAUCAAUUAAGAUUUCAGUCUCAAGUUUAUUCAUUUCCAAAUUUUCUAUAAUGGAUCUAAGAACGGAUUGAAGCUUUUAUCUGUAAGAGUUAUUAGCAUUCCACACAAGUUGAAUUAGAUUAGCCUUUUAUGAAACAAAUGCAUUAAUACUACAAAGUAGAAAUAUAUUCUUUUGCUUUGAUAGCUCAUUUAUUUCCUAUUAGUAUAGUAAAUUUUUAAUCAAGCAUGAGUUCAUGUAGGAAUUUUUUUAUCCCUUAUAAACUUAUUAGUGAAUCAAAAGCUACUUAAUCUUUGCAAGAGAGUGAUAAGCAGUAUAACACAAUUAUAGCAUCCAAAUUACAAAUGACAUAAUGCAUGAGGGAUAUCAUAAUAAAAUCAAAUUUCCUAUAACUUCUGGGAUUAUAUUUAUAGGAAAACAAGGAAUUUCACCUCAAAGGGAUAAGGGGCAGAACACAUAGGGUACAACCUCCACUAAUAAUACUGAUAAUUAUCACUAGCGAUAGUAAUAUUUUUGAGAUAGAACAAGAAAUAGUAUUGUUAUACUUGGUGGAUACACUCUACUCCAAGAUUUUCCUGAUCGGGACCUAGACUUUAGGUACUUUCUUAACACAUGAAUUUGUACAUCAGCAAAUCUACACAGGAAAGAAGCACAUACAUGAAGAAAGUAAUCUGAAGAUCUCAUUCAGUAACCUCUAAAAAUUCAUAAGCAUUUUUAUUUCUAAAAUCUUAUACUCUUAGGAAACAUAAAUUGAUUGGAGUACACACACUAAUUCACCAACCUCUAAAAUUUCAAGAGAAUUUAGAUUUCCUAGCUUCUUACAAUUCCGCAGCAAUAAGACUCAAAGUCCUUCAAAUAUCGAUAGUUGAUGUUUGGAUAAAAGACAACUAGAAGGGACACUCUCCUCUCAUCUUCAAUGUUUCUCUCUUUGGUGAAUUCAACAUACAUAAUCUAAUGUUAUUCCUGUUUGAUCAAAAUAUUCAUCCGAGAACCUACGUUAUUUGGUAAUCAUACAGACAUAUAUUCAUGUGUGCUCUAGUUAUAUACAAACAUGAUUAUUCAAGAAAUCACCAUCCAUGUUUUUUACAUAACUUCAAUUAGACUACAGAUCACACAUUAGUCACCUUAUAAUGCAAUAUAUAUUGAUGUUUUCAAGAAAUUAAAACAAAUCUCAAUCACAGAGAGAUCUGAAUGCUAUAGAUUCAGGUAAAAAACAUCAAUUUUUAUUAAUGAUACACAGAGAACUUCUGAACAACCAAAGUAAAGAUAAAAGAAUCGGCGAAACAGAGGAAUCAAAUCAAGUGAUUUUCCAUCAAUUCAACAGCAGUCAGAGAUCAUAUAUUAUGAUUUAACAAACUCAAGAAAUCUAUAAUUUCACAAAUCAUAGAUUGCCAUAGUUAGACAUCACAAAAUGCAAUUUGACAUGGUAUCAAGUAUUUCGGUACUUGAUAAGAAGAAUAUUUUACCAAAAAAGACCAAAAUGUUAAGGAGAAGAAUUAUUAAGGUAACAAUCUGAAACUUACAUGAAUGUAGAAGAUGAAGAUGAUGACAAGGAGAAGAUUUAAACAUCGGUGGUUCAGCAAUAUCGACCUAAAGUCAUGACUCUGACUAUAAAUAGAUGAUGUCUAGUGAUGGGUAAGGCUACCAUAGAAGAUGAUCAGCGUAUAUGGCAGUCAUGGUGCCGCGAGGCGGAGAGCUUUAGAGCAGCAAUGUGGAAUUAGAAUGAGUAGGGUUUUUAGUUAUUUCUUUUGUUAAUUAUUGGAGGAAACAUCUAAUAGUGGUGAAAAACUAGGAGGGAAAAAUGACAAAAUUGUUUUCAAUUAGUAAUUUUUACGUGCAAAUUAUUUUUAUUGUCGGUAAAAAAUAAAUUUUAGUGGCCAAUGUUUAUGGGCCAGUAGUAUCUCAAUGUAAAUAAUUAAUUAGUGGCAAUUGACUUAUUAUCAUUAAAUAAUUAUCGCUAAAAGGCGCCUUUUUGUAGUAGUGUGAGGUUCAUAUGCAAGGCAAUACUAGCAAUACUAAUGUGGGAAUUGUGGAAAAGGAGAAAUGCAAGAAGGCAUGGAAAGGAAAUUACUUUUUAUAAGCUAGAGCAAAAAUGUCAGACCAUAAUAACACAGCUUAUAAGAAGUAAAUACCCGUGGAUAACAGUUCCUAAAGGGUGGGACACAAUUGUAGAGGUACUAAGAAGAUACAGGCCAAGAUUGCACUAUCACGCUGUGAGGUGGAUAAAACCGCAACAAGAUAAAUUUAAGUGCAACACGGAUGAAGCUAGCAGAGGUAACCCACCCUGGAGUAAGUUCUUACAGUUUCUGUAUUCGAGAUUACAAUUAAAGCUUGAUAUAUGCUGAAGCAGAUGCUUUAGGGGAUAGAAACACUAUGAAAGCAGAGACGAUAGCAAUUCUACAGGCACUUAGUUAUUGCAAGAGAAACAAUCUUCAAAACAUCAUUGUGGAAACAGAUUCGUUAGGAAUAACAAAAAUGCUUAGACAGGAAUGGAGGAUCCCAUGGGGCCAGGCAGAUGACAUACAAGAGAUAUAAGAGUUACAACAACAUGUUCAGGCACACAUACAACAUGUAUUCAGGGAAGCAAAUAAUCUAGCAAAUGAGGCAUGUGACCUAGAGGGGAAGAUUCAGACGCAAACAUAUCAACAACUAUGUAAAGGAAUUUUAAAUACUGAUAAAGCCCAAAUACCAUCACUGAGGAUUAGAACAAGGAAGAUUACAGUACAUGGGCAACAUCAUGAGUAGAGAAAGGAAUAAUAACAAAGCAGAACACAGAUAUGAUAUGUACAAUCAGUUUUGCCAAUACAAGGCAUACAUAACUGUGCAAAAGACUACGCUACAUAGCAUGAGCUUUCUCAACUUACAAAUUCCACCAGCAAAAGUUGAUGCCUUCAAAUUCAGAUGGUAUCUGGAGCUGAAGAAGAGAGCACGCUUCUUGGAAUCUCCUUCUCUGCCUCAGCUGGAAAUAAGGAGAUUAGAGGUGGAUGAGAGACGGCAAAAAGAGAACAGAGAAGAAGGAACUCACUCACUUGGAAUCUCUUAUACAGGAAGAUGCAGAUUUGGAGAAAGGAAGAGCUGAGGAGAAGCAGAGGCGGAUGAAUCCACAACACAAGCUCAACAGGUGAACAUAUUGAAGAAAGAGCCGGACCAAAUAGGGUUAAUUU